rnacentral:rRNA from 1 species
UACAGGGGGUGCAAACGUUGCUCGGAAUCAUUGGGCGUAAAGCGCACGUAGGCGGUCUGUUAUGUCGGAUGUGAAAGCCUCGGGCUUAACCCGAGAAGGGCAUCCGAAACUGGCCGGCUUGAGUACGGAAGAGGGUCUCGGAAUUCCCGGUGUAGAGGUGAAAUUCGUAGAUAUCGGGAGGAACACCAGUGGCGAAGGCGGAGACCUGGGCCGAUACUGACGCUGAGGUGCGAAAGCGUGGGGAGCAAACAGG